CAGCCUGUAGUCUAGUGGAUAAGGUACAUGACUGGGACCCUUGAGGUUGGUGGUUCAAGUCCCAGUCCAGCCACA
rnacentral:tRNA from 1 species